UAAACAUGCAAGUCGAACGGAAAGGCCCUGCUUGCAGGGUGCUCGAGUGGCGAACGGGUGAGUAACACGUGGGUGAUCUGCCCCUUACUUUGGGAUAAGCCUGGGAAACUGGGUCUAAUACUGGAUAGGACCAUGCUGUAGGUGGUGUGGUGGAAAGAUUUUUUCGGUAAGGGAUGAGCUCGCGGCCUAUCAGCUUGUUGGUGGGGUAAUGGCCUACCAAGGCGUCGACGGGUAGCCGGCCUGAGAGGGUGGACGGCCACAUUGGGACUGAGAUACGGCCCAGACUCCUACGGGAGGCAGCAGUGGGGAAUAUUGCACAAUGGGCGCAAGCCUGAUGCAGCGACGCCGCGUGGGGGAUGACGGCCUUCGGGUUGUAAACUCCUUUCAGCCAUGACGAAGCCUUUGUGGUGACGGUAGUGGUAGAAGAAGCACCGGCUAACUACGUGCCAGCAGCCGCGGUAAUACGUAGGGUGCGAGCGUUGUCCGGAAUUACUGGGCGUAAAGAGCUCGUAGGUGGUCUGUCGCGUCAUUUGUGAAAGCCCGGGGCUUAACUCCGGGUUGGCAGGUGAUACGGGCAUGACUGGAGUACUGUAGGGGAGACUGGAAUUCCUGGUGUAGCGGUGAAAUGCGCAGAUAUCAGGAGGAACACC
rnacentral:rRNA from 1 species